AUAGCAAUUUUUCAAAUAUAAAUUAUUAAAUAUUGUGUCCAUGUUGUACAGAACUCAUCCCACUUUAACCCAAACUCUGCAGCCUUGAUCAAAAUCCCCACCCCUCCCGGCCCUCUGGUGGCCGCCCCCCACUAUGCUUCUAGGAGUUCCGACAUUUUUUAGAUUCCACACAUAAACGCGCUUGGUAUUUGUCCUUCUGUGCCCAGCUUACUUCAUUUAGCAUAAUGUCCUUCACAUUUAUCAAUGUUGUGAAAAUGACUAGAUUUAGUUUUGUAAAUAAAAGUUUUACUGGAACCCUGCCAUUGUCACUUGUGCACAUAUUGCUACAGGGGCAGAACUGAACAAUCCUGACAGACUUUGUGGCCCAUGAAGCCUAAAAUAUUUACCAUUUGGGCCUUUACAGAAAAUGUUUGUUGGCCCCUGGUCUAAAUGGUCAAAUAAGGCUGAAAAUGUGUUUUUCUGGCUAAACAAUCUGAAUGUAACCAAUGUCUUUUCAGCUGAUCCUGCCCUUUCCCUAUGUGGCCCUCCUUGCCUGUCCACGCUAACCAGACCUACCUGGCCAUGGUGCAGGUGAGUGCCACCUUGAGAAGGACUAUAAAAGCAGGCCAUGGGAAGAACAUCACAGAAGAGCUUGGAAGGAAUUCAGGCGCUACAAGAAGAACGAACCCAGUGACUCCUGUUAAGGAGUCUGAACCCAAACUAAACUUGGCUACUGGAAAAGAAAACCAUAAUUAGUGCAGAACUUGAAAAGAAAACAAAACAGAGCCGAGAGGACCAGCUUCAUCUGGGAUUGUACCUGCAGUGGCCCUUCUUGGUUUGAAACAGAGUUUUAACUGAAAAAUAUUGGAUGUGUUUAUAGUAUACCACCCGGUGUUUUCACAUACGGUAUGCAUUACAUCACAUACUUUCUUUUGUAAUAAAGCACUUACAAAUCUCUCAGCAA